rnacentral:tRNA from 1 species
GUGAAGGUGGCUUAGUGGUAGAGCACUUGCCUUGCAUGUAUGAGGCCCUGGAUUCGAUUCCUCAGCAUCACA